rnacentral:rRNA from 1 species
GACGAACGCUGGCGGCGUGCCUAAUACAUGCAAGUCGAACGAGUGGCGGACGGGUGAGUAACCCGUGGGAACCUACCCAUCAGAGGGGGAUAACUACUGGAAACGGUAGCUAAUACCGCAUACCAUCAGAUGAACCCAUAUGGGAUUAGCUAGUAGGUAAGGUAACGGCUUACCUAGGCGACGAUCCCUCGCUGGUCUGAGCGGAUGAUCAGCCACACUGGGACUGAGACACUGACCAGACUCCUACGGGAGGAAGCAGUGGGGAAUAUUGCACAAUGGGCGCAAGCCUGAUGCAGCCAUGCCGCGUGUAUGAAGAAGGCCUUCAGGUUGUAAAGUACUUUCAGUCGGGAGGCGUUACCGACAGAAGAAGCACCGGCUAACUCCGUGCCAGCAGCCGCGGUAAUAC